CUUUCCAAAACUUGAACGUUUCCAAAGAUUAUCAGGAUUAUUGGAUCGUUUAAACACCGUUGAAGUAUUCUCCAGUAGUAAAGUGCAAGGAUCCAAGUAUCGCCAGCUGUUCACGGUGCUGACAGUGAGGUACAAGAUUCGACGCAACGGACUUUGAAGCAAUUGACAUGCGUGCAUGUUUCUUCAACCGCGGUAUGCAUCAUCAGCUGUUUAAAUCCAGCAUUGCGUGUACCAACUACGUAGGAACGAGGAGUGACAUUUGUAGAAAUACAUGCAGCCUAACCGUCCGUCGUACUGGGUGAGUCUGCACGGAUUGCAGGCAUAAAGGUCAGUGCCACGAUGUUUUCCAUUUUCUUCAGUACUCGCAGCGAUUUCCUAUCGCGAGCAUCGCAGUUCAACGGUCGAAACAAGCGUAACAAAAAUGGAAAUCCUGAAAUGAAAAAGUCGCUAGGACGUUACUUCUUGCUGCAAGUCCAACGGCUUUGAAGCGGCGAUUUCAAAAUUUCGAACGAUGAUGCAGAUGUUUUUCUCUUUGCUUUAUUUCGUAGUUACCAUACGCAAACGUCAUUUGAACGUACGGUAUUCUUUAUUUUUUUUUUUCACUGCAUCGUCACGUGGCUGUCGAAUGAGAGAUAUCGAGCUGUCUUGAAUCGGGCAAUCCUCACACGAUAUUAUAAAUCCAGCGCGUAGGAGACGAGGAAAAAGCUGAUAUCGGGGGAUACGCGUAUCAAGGGUCAGCUAUUUCUUAUUUUAAGGCCAUGUGGCAAUCCUGCCAUUACCGACUGAGCAGACUUGCCCGUUUUCUUCCUAUAUUAAAUUAACAAAUGAAAGGAAAGGGUUCAAAUUUCGACGGUGCAUCGCUCUUUCGUAUCGGAAUUCAGGUUACUCAUAUCCCGAAAAUCGUAAAGAAUAGACCAUCUUUUAUGUACGAAAUUAUUGUAAUUCCUAGUUUUCGUCUAGCGGCAACAAUACUGUUUGAAAACAGUGUCAAGAUGGCUCAUUUUACUCCUCAUUCUUUCCGUAAUUGCGCAAAGUAUCUCAGCUUUGCACUUUUUCACCACUGAACUAGGGAAAAUGUGAAAAUAGUAACACGUGUCUGAAAACCACACAUUUUUUGACAAUUUUUGGGACAUGAGUAGCCUUCCUGAAUUCCUCUACGUAAGAGUGAUACAUAGUCGAAAUUCUAACCCUUUCAUUUCAUUCGUUAAUUAAAUAUCCGAAGAAACGGGUGAGUUUGCUCGGUCGGUAAGGGUAGGACUGCUACACGACCUUAAUCCGAAACUGCGAAGAGCUGUUCAGUGUCGUUGCCACACGAGUUCCCCGUUUUUAUUGUCUUUCUUUCCCUCUGCGUUAUAUGUACUAGUAAUGCAUGUAAUAGGGAUUCGGGAUUAUCAAUAUACAUAGCAGUAGCGGCAAAGUUCACUCAUGACGUGAUUACCAGAGCAAUAGAAACGCUUUUGUAAUUUAUUUACAGUAACUAUCUUCGAACAAACUCUCUGCUCUCUGCCAACGAGCCACUUUAGUCACGUUCGCAGGUCUUGUACUUAAAAUUAAUUUUUAUACGUUUAUAGACCCUCAUAGUUUGUAGGUAUUUUGGUUUUUAUUGAUCGAAAUUGAGGAGGAUGGCGAGCGCUUCUCAGGGGAAGGCGGCGAGAGGGAACCACAGAAUUAUUACCAGCGGUAUUCUGCAGCGAUGAAGACAAGUAACGCGUAAGUCGUGGGUUUUCGUGAAGUUUAAUUUUGAGAAACAAUUUAUUUACACUUACCUGAGCAUUGUUGUGUUUAUAAUUACAUGGGCAAACAUGCGUGUACGUAAUUGGGUGAAUUUGAAACAGUUUAUUUGAUAAAAAUGAUCCAGCAUUAGAAAACUUGUGUAUGUAUACUAGAGAUUUAGUGCUUACCGCAAGGUUGAAGGGUUGAAAUUAACUGACUAUAAACUAAAUAAUGACAAGUGUUAUAUUAAUUAUGUAUAUAAAGUAUACAUAUGUAUUCAAUUCGGGGUGUUCGAACCAAUUACUUCUGAUUCAUGAAUAUUCGGUUCCCUUGAAUUAACGUUAUUAAUAAGCAUAUCUUCACCGUUCGCUCUUUUUAUGAUUCAGCAUCACAGUUGUUAGAUGGAAAAUUCUAAAAUCUGACAAUAUUCGUGUAUCACGUAUUGCUGAUAAUGUAUUGUCACUUUAUUUUAUCUGUAACUCCAUUGCCAGUAAAAAUAACUCAACGUGUUUCAGACUUAUAGAGCACAGGUAUAUAAAGAUUUAAGAUUAUAAAGACGUUUCUCAAUUUAACGCUUAUUUUGGACUUACAACUCGAAUUGCGCCACAUCAAUCACCAGGAUGCAUGCAAUAUAAUAAAUCAAUCUUGAUAUCGAAUAUCUACGUCAAAUUGACAAAUAUUUUCAAUGUAAAGAUGAAUUCAUCAUCCCCUCUGCAGAUGUAGAGCUUGCUCACUUUGAACGUAACCUUACCGAUUAAUGGAGCCAAUCAAGUAUUGACUAACAAAUGUUUUGGGUAUUUUUUCAUCCCACACCUAUAAGUGACAACGAUUGGUAACGUGGCUUGUUUUGUGGACUACUAUUUAUAGUCAUAUUCCGGUCGAUUUAUUCCUACCUUAUUAAAUAUUAAUUAUUAUUAAUUAUUAAUAGACAUUAAAAUGUUCAGUAAAACGUGAAUUCAUUAUUCAUUGAGUAUUAAAUACACUAUAUAUUGUCUUUCUUCUUGAAUACAAGCAACAAACAUUACAUUUACUAAGAUAUUAUGAUUGAGCAAAUCAUGCACUAUUAACACCUCUUUUUAAAGAAAAUUUGUCAUUAUUUUCAAGCAGACGGUGUAUUGGCUUUGAGCACGCACUUCACUUCGAAUUUCCUGUGAUAGCUAACGCUUACCUGAAACGUCUACUGCUAUAAGGUGACUAAUAUACUUGAAUGGCCCCUUAAUGGAGAAAUUCGACUUUUAGCCGUGAAUGACAAUGUUCGAAAUCGCCAUGAAUCUUGAAACGACAAUCCACAGAUUGACCCAGUAUUUCAUUCAAGGUAUAUUACAGAUUUGGUAUAAUUGAUAAGGUGAACCGAUAUGUGUUCUAUUUGUAACAGUUGAUAUCUGGUUUAAAAUUUUGGCAUGAAAAUAAUGCACAUUUAUUUCUUCAAGAAUUGAUAUGUAUGCUUGUCCACUGCAUUGAUACGUGUACGAAUAAUCAGCCAUAUUCACAAAACUCGGCAUUCGCAUCCCGCUACUUAACAUCGAUUUCUG
rnacentral:lncRNA from 1 species